rnacentral:rRNA from 1 species
UACGGGGGGGGCAAGCGUUGUUCGGAAUUACUGGGCGUAAAGGGCUCGUAGGCGGCCAACUAAGUCGGACGUGAAAUCCCUCGGCUUAACCGGGGAACUGCGUCCGAUACUGGAUGGCUUGAGUUUGGGAGAGGGAUGCGGAAUUCCUGGUGUAGCGGUGAAAUGCGCAGAUAUCAGGAGGAACACCGGUGGCGAAGGCGGGUCUCUGGGCCGAUACUGACGCUGAGGAGCGAAAGCGUGGGGAGCGAACAGG